GCCUGAGUGGUGGAAUUGGUAGACGCACCAGACUCAAAAUCUGGAAUUCUUCGGAGUGUGCGGGUUCAAGUCCCGCCUCAGGCACCA
rnacentral:tRNA from 22 species